GUCGUUCUUCACACCGAAGUUGCUGGAAGGGUUUGGAAUCGAUUCGUAUUGCCUGCUUUGUACAGUGAAAGAGAUAAAGUAAUGGGUUGUUGACAAAAAAUUAAGAUUAAAAAAAUGUCUGUGGCACUGAAAAGGAUAAAAAAAUGAUAUAGAUAUUGGUUAGAGAGAAAAAAAAAAUGAUUAAAAAAAUAUGGAAAGAUGGUUUGGGUGUUUGGUUUUUGUUUUCUAAUAUUUUCUCUUUUAGCAUACCAAGGAAAUUGAUGGGCAGCUUUGAGUGCAUUGGACGAAACCCUCCACGUGUUGAUCAUCACUUCAAGUUUUGCUUUUCAAUUGUUUUGGUUUUUUCUUUGCCUUUCACUUCCAUCCUUAUGUACACUUCAUGCCAACGGAAUGCCAUCCACGUGUUGAUGAUCGCUGCACGUUUUCUUUUCCAUUUGUUGUUUUUUCUUUGGCUUUCACUUCUCUAUCUGUCAUUUUCCAUUUUCUAUUUGUUUUAUGCUUUCUUUCUUUCAUUUUCAACUUUGGUUUUCUCUCGACUCUCUGCAUUGUGGUGUUUUUCUUGCAAAUUGUUAAUGGAGCAGGUUAUGUUGUUUGGAAUUAUAGGUACAAGUUUGUUUUGUUGUAAAUUGGUUUCAUGUAGAAAUUUUGCUUUCUUUCUUAUUUUGGGUGUUCAUUUUGUAGUCUGGGGUUUUAUAUCGUCCUGUGUCUUCCACGCGUCGAUCUUCCUUUUCGAUUCGAUCUCUCCAUUUUCUUUCGCCUUUCCGUUUGCUUCUCUCAGCCCUCAUUUUGGCAGUUUGCAUCGCGUCUAUUGUUCUCUCGAAUUUUCUUGGGGUUUUCAUUUCUUUCUCACAGAUACUUGAUUUUCUUAGUUUGUUUUCGCUGAUCUUUUGUUUCUUCCAUGCAUUCCACUUCUUUUUCAUCAUUUUCGGUGUGGAUUUGAAGAGGAUUUGUGAAGUGGCUUUGAUUUUAUGGUACCCAUGUUUAGUUUUUCGGUUUGAUUUGAAGGAAUUUCUUGUGCAGAAGAGCUAGGGUUUCUUGGUGAGUUCUCCGGGUUGUGCAUCAUGCUCCACUUCACAAGUUCAUUGUUAUUUUUCGUAAUAUAUUCUGAUUUCUAGAACUGUAAAUUCGGAUGUGGAAAUGAAUUUUUUGUGCAAAUUUGGAUAUUUGGAUGUUGGUUAAAAUUGGGGGAAUGACUCCCAUUUUGUUAGUCAAUUAAUUUAAUUUUUUGUUUAUCUCAAGCUUCUAAAUGAUUUCCUGCAUCAUUGCUUAGUUUUACUCACUGAAAUUUGAGCGGUGAAUUUUUUUUACCUUAUGACCUCAUUUGUGAUUAUCAAGUGCAUAAUUGUCUUUUGAUCAGAUUUCCUUUGAAGUGAAUGCCAAACUGCAGUGUGAUGUUCAAACUUUGUGGCCUUUUGAAAUAGGUGGGAGCAUAAUUCAUUCUACUAUAGAUUGUUCCCCUUUCCAUUUCCAUGAGUGAGUUGGAUAGAUAGUUCAUAGCAUAGGUUUGGUUGCAUGUUUAUUGGAAAAAGAAAAACACGAAGAGGCACAACACACUGAGGAUAAACUUUUUGUCUUCAGGAAGAUGAGGAGACAAAAAGAAGUACAAAGGGAUGCAUUUAACUUCCACUUUUGAGGUUCCAGGCACCCAAAAACUGCCGACUGGUACCCAGGAAUUAACAAUGUAGCUGAAGUUCUCCACUAGCUUAAGCACAAUGGAGAACUCAAGUACAGAUCUCUUUAUUUGUUUCUCAAUCCUGGAACCUCUGGCCUCCGCAAGAAGGAAAACAUGAAGAAAAAGAAGGAUGAAGUGAGAGAGAAGUUGAUCCAAGGAGUACUCCACCAGACUCUAUACAUGUGUCAUUGGAUGAUGAGUUUGGAAUCAUGGCUGAAAAGCUUGGAAAGAAGGGAAAAUCUGUUAAUGGUGUAGGUGUUUUUCCUCGUACGGAUACCUCUAGUUGCAUUCUUCUAUAACCUUAAGUUCCGAGUUAACUGAUAUGAGAUCCCAGAUCAAGCUUCUAUCAAAUGGUUUCCUCAAAUUGCAACAUAAGAAUGAAUAACUGAGAGCUCUAUUGGGUUUACAUAAUGAUGAUGAAAAUAUGUUCACAAAACUCAAGGCGUGUUUGGCUGCUAAGUCAAGGGAGGACCAACAACUAUACAGAAUCUGAUGGUGAUAUUUCAGAGGGUGAAAAUAUUUAUCCUAAGCUAGAAGAACAUGAUUUGGAAGAGUACUGACGUUGAUAUUAUGUCUUUUACGGUUAGUUUCAAGUAUGCACAUGGUACACUUCUUUUGUUAUUACCUAAAUGUGCCUUGGACUUCUCUUUUGUUAAUACCCAAGUUGUUUGUAUAUAGGUGUUAGUGCCCUUCAUUAUUAUGGCUUAGACUUGUCUUUUGUUGGUACCUCAAGCUGUCUUUUGUUAGAGCAUCUUCAUUGGAGUCCCUAAAUAGGGACAA